rnacentral:rRNA from 1 species
UCUUAUAUGGAGAGUUUGAUCCUGGCUCAGGACGAACGCUGGCGGCGUGCCUAAUACAUGCAAGUCGAGCGGACGGAUGGGAGCUUGCUCCCAGACCGUCAGCGGCGGACGGGUGAGUAACACGUGGGCAACCUGCCUGUAAGACUGGGAUAACUCCGGGAAACCGGGGCUAAUACCGGAUAAUUCUUUUCCUCACAUGAGGAAAAGCUGAAAGAUGGCAUCUCGCUAUCACUUACAGAUGGGCCCGCGGCGCAUUAGCUAGUUGGUGAGGUAACGGCUCACCAAGGCGACGAUGCGUAGCCGACCUGAGAGGGUGAUCGGCCACACUGGGACUGAGACACGGCCCAGACUCCUACGGGAGGCAGCAGUAGGGAAUCUUCCGCAAUGG